rnacentral:rRNA from 1 species
UACGAAGGGGGCUAGCGUUGUUCGGAAUUACUGGGCGUAAAGCGCACGUAGGCGGAUUUGUUAGUCAGGGGUGAAAUCCCGGGGCUCAACCUCGGAACUGCCUUUGAUACUGCAAGUCUAGAGUCCGGAAGAGGUGAGUGGAAUUCCUAGUGUAGAGGUGAAAUUCGUAGAUAUUAGGAAGAACACCAGUGGCGAAGGCGGCUCACUGGUCCGGUACUGACGCUGAGGUGCGAAAGCGUGGGGAGCAAAC